rnacentral:rRNA from 1 species
AUGCAGUUGAGCGCUGAGGUUGGUACUUGUACCAACUGGAUGAGCAGCGAACGGGUGAGUAACGCGUGGGGAAUCUGCCUUUGAGCGGGGGACAACAUUUGGAAACGAAUGCUAAUACCGCAUAAAAACUUUAAACACAAGUUUUAAGUUUGAAAGAUGCAAUUGCAUCACUCAAAGAUGAUCCCGCGUUGUAUUAGCUAGUUGGUGAGGUAAAGGCUCACCAAGGCGAUGAUACAUAGCCGACCUGAGAGGGUGAUCGGCCACAUUGGGACUGAGACACGGCCCAAACUCCUACGGGAGGCAGCAGUAGGGAAUCUUCGGCAAUGGACGAAAGUCUGACCGAGCAACGCCGCGUGAGUGAAGAAGGUUUUCGGAUCGUAAAACUCUGUUGGUAGAGAAGAACGUUGGUGAGAGUGGAAAGCUCAUCAAGUGACGGUAACUACCCAGAAAGGGACGGCUAACUACGUGCCAGCAGCCGCGGUAAUACGUAGGUCCCGAGCGUUGUCCGGAUUUAUUGGGCGUAAAGCGAGCGCAGGUGGUUUAUUAAGUCUGGUGUAAAAGGCAGUGGCUCAACCAUUGUAUGCAUUGGAAACUGGUAGACUUGAGUGCAGGAGAGGAGAGUGGAAUUCCAUGUGUAGCGGUGAAAUGCGUAGAUAUAUGGAGGAACACCGGUGGCGAAAGCGGCUCUCUGGCCUGUAACUGACACUGAGGCUCGAAAGCGUGGGGAGCAAACAGGAUUAGAUACCCUGGUAGUCCACGCCGUAAACGAUGAGUGCUAGAUGUAGGGAGCUAUAAGUUCUCUGUAUCGCAGCUAACGCAAUAAGCACUCCGCCUGGGGAGUACGACCGCAAGGUUGAAACUCAAAGGAAUUGACGGGGGCCCGCACAAGCGGUGGAGCAUGUGGUUUAAUUCGAAGCAACGCGAAGAACCUUACCAGGUCUUGACAUACUCGUGCUAUUCCUAGAAGAUAGGAAGUUCCUUCGGGACACGGGAUACAGGUGGUGCAUGGUUGUCGUCAGCUCGUGUCGUGAGAUGGUUGGGGUUAAGUCCCGCAACGAGCGCAACCCCUAUUGUUAGUUGCCAUCAUUAAGUUGGGCACUCUAACGAGACUGCCGGUGAUAAACCGGAGGAAAGGUGGGGAUGACGUCAAAUCAUCAU